rnacentral:rRNA from 1 species
CCUACGGGGGGCUGCAGUGGGGAAUAUUGCACAAUAGGCGCAAGCCUGAUGCAGCCAUGCCGCGUGUGUGAAGAAGGCCUUCGGGUUGUAAAGCACUUUCAGCGGGGAGGAAGGCGGUGAGGUUAAUAACCUCAUCGAUUGACGUUACCCGCAGAAGAAGCACCGGCUAACUCCGUGCCAGCAGCCGCGGUAAUACGGAGGGUGCAAGCGUUAAUCGGAAUUACUGGGCGUAAAGCGCACGCAGGCGGUCUGUCAAGUCGGAUGUGAAAUCCCCGGGCUCAACCUGGGAACUGCAUUCGAAACUGGCAGGCUAGAGUCUUGUAGAGGGGGGUAGAAUUCCAGGUGUAGCGGUGAAAUGCGUAGAGAUCUGGAGGAAUACCGGUGGCGAAGGCGGCCCCCUGGACAAAGACUGACGCUCAGGUGCGAAAGCGUGGGGAGCAAACAGGAUUAGAUACCCUUGUAGUC